GAUCUUCAACUUCGUAGUUCACUUCGCUACGCAAAUCCUACUCCUCAAGCUCUAAAUGACUCCAGAUGACUCCUCGAAGUGCUAAAAUUAUGCCUAAAACAACAGAGAAUACACACUUAGGAACUAAUCAAACAGAACGAAAACAUCAUGCAUGCGAACGAAACCAAGAAAAAUGGAUAGAUCUUACCAUAAUCUAUCUUUUCUUCAACUUCAUCAUCUUCGAUAUCCAAUUCUAAAUCGGCCGAAAUCACGAGUGAAAGUGGCUACCAAGUUUUUCUUUGGCUUGUGUAUUCUUCUACACUUAG
rnacentral:lncRNA from 1 species